rnacentral:lncRNA from 1 species
CAAUCAGCAGGAGCCUCUUCCACCAAGGAGAUCUGAAAACAAGAGGUUUUGGUUCUUAUUCAUGAUCAUGUUUGAAACCAGAUCCAGAUAUGAAUUCAACUGUCAAACACUCCAGACUUCUCCUUGACUCCACUCAGAGGACAGGUGGUGCACCUCACCUUUCAUGUGGUCAGAUGUCCUACGACAAAAUGUUCACCAUGGCAUGGCCAAUGGCUCCGAUGAAGCAGUAGAAGAGGUGGUUAGUGUUUUCAAAUGAUUGUGGAUACAAGAGAAAACUAAUUUGAAGGACACCUAAAGUCACAUGAAAUAUGGGCCUGAUGACAUGAAACACCCUGUAAGGACACCUGGCUCUGUGAAUUGUUAGAGUCAGCUUUGGACACAUUCCUGGAUGAUGGCUGGAGGAGAUUUCCAGUGAUGAAUCCUCUGAAGACAGUGGUCAGUGUCUACACCAACAAGUGAUGCAAGAUAUUUCAAAGCUCAGGACCGGAGGCUGUUGCAGGAGAGAGGGGGCAUGAUGACAUGAGACACCUUGUGAGGGACAAGCUGGGAGUAGAUUCUGGGAAUGAUCCUGAGUGAGGGCUCUUUCGGGCACUGUUGUCCCUAGAGGAUGAUAUCAGAGAGUGGAGAGCAAUGUGCUGAAGAUACAGACCAGAGCAGAAGAGCACAGAGCCAGGUAGG